UGCGGGAUAGUGUAAUGGUAACAUUUAAGAUUCAUAUUCUUAAGCUGCAAGUCCGAUUCUUGCUCCCGCAA
rnacentral:tRNA from 1 species